rnacentral:rRNA from 1 species
AUUGAACGCUGGCGGCAGGCCUAACACAUGCAAGUCGAGCGAGCGGCGGACGGGUGAGUAAUGUAUGGGGACUGCCCGAUAGAGGGGGAUAACUACUGGAAACGGUGGCUAAUACCGCAUACUAUCGGAUAACCCAUAUGGGAUUAGCUAGUAGGUGGGGUAAAGGCCUACCAAGGCGACGAUCCGUAACUGGUCUGAGAGGAUGAUCAGUCACACUGGAACUGAGACACGGUCCAGACUCCUACGGAGGCAGCAGUGGGGAAUAUUGCACAAUGGGCGCAAGCCUGAUGCAGCCAUGCCGCGUGUAUGAAGAAGGCCUUAGGGUUGUAAAGUACUUUCAGCGGGGAGGCGUUACCAACAGAAUAAGCACCGGCUAACUUCGUGCCAGCAGCCGCGGUAAUAC